rnacentral:rRNA from 1 species
AGAGUUUGAUCCUGGCUCAGAGCGAACGCUGGCGGCAGGCUUAACACAUGCAAGUCGAGCGCCGUAGCAAUACGGAGCGGCAGACGGGAGAGUAACACGUGGGAACGUACCCUUUGGUUCGGAAUAACUCAGGGAAACUUGAGCUAAUACCGGAUAAGUCCGUAAGGAGAAAGAUUUAUCGCCGAAGGAUCGGCCCGCGU